AUUUGUCUGUUUAACUAUGGCAGUAGAAAGUAGUUUAAAAUCAACCGCAUAAAUAGAUUGUAUACUUUUUUAAGCAUCAUUUGGGCUUUAUUGUUAGCGGUUAGUAUUUUAUUUAAGCGUAAGCUUUAUUAAGGAUUUUAUAUUUGAGAGGGGAUUAGGCACAGUGCCAGCAUCCGCGGUUAUUCUGUUUUCUCUGCUUUUAUAUGGUUAUGUUUAAAAAUAGGUAAAGGUAAGAGUAGGUGAAAUUUUUUUACUUUUAUUACUAAUAUUUUAUGCAUGGAUAAGUGGUUUUACUAUGAAAGGGAUUAGAUACCCCAUUAAUUAAUCAUUUAAUAUAACUUAGUUUUAUAACUAAAUUAGUUUGGCAGUGAGUUACUCCGGUCAGGGGAAGGUGUGUUAUAAAGGACGAUCCGCCUAUUAAUUUACCUUAGUUAUGUUGGUGUAUAUCUGGUUUAAUAUUAUUGCUUAGUUGCUUGAAUUUGUGUAUUAACAUUUAAGCUAAGUCUAUGUGCUGCAUGCUGAGGUUUUCAUUCGUUACAUUGAUAAAGUUUACUUUUGUAAUUAGGUAACAUUUAGGACUUGAUAGUAAUAUUAAAUUAGUUUGUUAGUGUGAAAUUGGUUUAGCUCAGGUACACACCGCCCGUCACCCUCGAUUAUUUUGAGGUAAGUCGUAACAAGGUAGCCCCAGAUGAAUCUGGGGCUAAUUAUUAACUUUAUUUUGGUUAAUAGUA
rnacentral:rRNA from 1 species